GGGGGAAAUGUAAUCCCCCCAUCCCUCCUGGGCCUUGGGACACCCCAGUGACCAGUGACACCUCCCGCUCUCUCUCCAGAUAAGAUUCGAUCUCCAUCGAGUGAAGAGGUCUGAGGUGGGUACCCCGAGUUCUGCUGGGCCCAGACCCUCCCCUCUCAUGGCCACCACCCUCCCCAGCAUCCCACUGUGCCCCAGUCCAGCCCGGUGUGUCCCAGUCCAGCCCAGUUUGCCUCAGUCUAGCCCAGUGUGUCUCUAACCCUGCCUUUGUCCCCAGCCCCCCGUGGCUGACCAGGUGGAGCUGCUGCGCCAGUGACGCUCGGCUGCCUCUCUGCAUGUCCAGGACUGGAAGUGGUGGUGACACCCGUGUCCUGGCCCCCUCCAGCGGCAUGAGGAGAUGAUCAUCCCUGGAGGACCCCCCUGAUCCCCUGGGUGCCCUGGCAAUUUCCCUGCAAGAAUCAAUAAACCCCUGCAGCAAAACAAA